AUUGUGCAGCCUCCGCGCCCCCGCCCCUCGGCGUGCGCCCGGGCUCCGCGCGCGCGGAAUGGCGGCGGCGGCGGCGGCGGCCGUUUGAAGGCAACGGCUGCGGGCGGGGCGCGAGCCGGGAAAAUAGUGUAGAAGGAUAACACGCAUGGCUCCUCCGAAGUCGAGUUUUAUCGAAGCAAGCGAGAUGACUGCUCAAAUAAAUGAAUAUUCAUUGGAGGAAGGUAUUCUCAGUCUUCUGUAUCUGAAAUGAAUUUUGUCAUUUCUGGGCUUUGGAGUCAUUGUCUGACUGUUUGAUGUAAUGAAAUGUUUUACGCAGAAUGAAACAGCUCAAAUCAGUGGGAUAAUGAGAGAAAUCCUUAAAUCCAUACAUUGACUGUGGAACUGACUUGUUGCACGGGGAUGGCCAGUUUGAACACAAACCAUGGAUAAAAACUGAUGUUUGAAGGGAAACUCUCUUAGGUCAAUCCAGCAAGCUCAAAGAACACCGAAGGCAUACGGCAAAGGAGCACAAAGGCCCUUUUGUGAGGGUAUUCUUUCAUGUUAACUCUUUUAUUUAGGGUCAGCACUGCAAAAUAGGUGGACAGGUUAUUGAAAACGGGAAGAGUGAUUGAUGUUGAGGUACUUUUACUGGUAGCGCUCAUGCUAACUGAUGCAUUACAGCAGCUUGUCUAGCAGCACCAAGUUGCAACCUCCAAAGUAAUGCCUGUGGACUAGCCAAAAUCAGGGUUGUCAACAAUAUUUCUGCAGUGUGAUACUGUUCAUGUUUUGAGUGUCCAUAAUCUUUUUCAUUUGUGCCCUUUCAUGAUGGUGACAUGGGUUCAGCCAGGUUGCUGCCAGAUCAUCUGUGCCGGACAUGCGGUGUCGCUACCGAAGAGCCACCGCUGGUAGCACAGAACAGUUUUCUGCAAGAGAUUCUCAUUUCGCAAGACAGAACAGCACCCUCUGCAGUCAUUCCGGCAUAGACCUUCGAGAAAUUCCAAGCACUUUUUAGGAAAAUGACAAGUAAUUUAUAAUUCGAUAAUAUGUGUGAACUUAAGAUAUGUAGUUCAAGCAGCUUUUGUAAAAAUGGCAUGCAGACUCAGCUGUUCAGUAAAAAGGAAAUGCUUAACUUGUUAAAUCUUGUUCAGCCACUAGCCGUUGAGUAUGUGUGCAGAAAUGCUUAG